rnacentral:pre_miRNA from 1 species
AAUGGGAUAGCUGGGUUAAAUGGUGAAUCCUUUACAAGUUUUCUGAAGAAUCGCCAUAUUGCUUUUCAUAAUGGUUGCACCAAUUUGCAGUCCCACCAGUAAU